rnacentral:rRNA from 1 species
CCUACGGGUGGCAGCAGUAAGGAAUAUUGCGCAAUGGAGGCAACUCUGACGCAGCCAUGCCGCGUGCAGGAAGACGGCCUUAUGGGUUGUAAACUGCUUUUAUAAAGGGAUAAACUCACCCUCGUGAGGGUGACUGAAGGUACUUUAUGAAUAAGCACCGGCUAACUCCGUGCCAGCAGCCGCGGUAAUACGGAGGGUGCAAGCGUUAUCCGGAUUUAUUGGGUUUAAAGGGUGCGCAGGCGGCCUGAUCAGUCAGUGGUGAAAUCCCGGGGCUCAACUCCGGAACUGCCAUUGAUACUGUAGGGCUUGAGUACAGUAGAGGUAGGCGGAAUUUAUGAUGUAGCGGUGAAAUGCAUAGAUAUCAUAAAGAACACCGAUAGCGAAGGCAGCUUACUAUGCUGUUACAGACGCUGAGGCACGAAAGCGUGGGGAGCGAACAG